AUUCAGUAAGGAAUGCCACCUGUUUGGUUUCUUCCAAGGACUCAGACAGUGGACCUGGAUCAUAAGUAUCAGCCCCAGGAAAGCAAACUGGUCUAUAAGGAGUCUGCGACACGAGGCAGGAGCUGAGACACAGGGGCCAGUACAUGGAGAGAGCCUGUGCAGAGAUAAUCUCAAUGCUACAGUAAAUAUUGACAAAGGAAUUAACCAUGGAUAUUGACAGAAAGGGUCAGAAUGUAGAUUAGUGGGAGAACUGUCCCAUUAUUUCAUGUCUUUCCUUGACUUACCUUUUGUUGGUGAACGUGCUCUCCACCAUACCAAGAACAAUCUGAUCAAGACCCAAAGAUAUUAAGAGAACAUUACACUAAAAAAGCUUGCAUCAAGGCAAUAAAAACAAUGCUAGCGAGA